GAAAGUAAGCAAGGGCGUACGGGGGAUGCCUAGGCUCUUGGAGGCGAAGAAGGACGUGUUAAGCUGCGAAAAGCUGCGGGGAUUUGCAAAAAAGACUUGAUCCGCAGAUGUCCGAAUGGGGCAACCCGGCAGGUCGGAGACCUGUCACACCGGCAACGGUGAGCAAACCCUAUGAACUGAAACAUCUUAGUAAUAGGAGGAGGAGAAAGAAACAUCGAUUUCCCGAGUAGUGGCGAGCGAAAAGGAAAGAGCCCAAACCGGCGUUGUUACGGCAAUGCCGGGGUUAUAGGACUGCGAUAUCUUAAUACCAACGAACGAGAAAUGACUGGAAAGUCGUACCGUAGAGGGUGAAAGUCCCGUAUUGGUAAGUUCGGUAAGCGGUAGCAGUAUCCUGAGUAUGGCGGGACACGAGGAAUCCUGUCAGAAUUUGCGGGGACCACCCCGUAAGGCUAAAUACUCCCAAGAGACCGAUAGUGGACCAGUACCGUGAGGGAAAGGUGAAAAGUACCCCGAACAGGGGAGUGAAAAAGAACCUGAAACCGUACGCUUACAACCUGUCGGAGCCGCUUCGUGCGGUGACGGCGUGCCUUUUGGAUAAUGAACCUACGAGUUACUAAUCACUAGCGAGGUUAAGGACUAUAAAGUCCGGAGCCGAAGCGAAAGCGAGUCUGAAUAGGGCGUAUAGUUAGUGGUUGUAGACGCGAAACCUUGCGAUCUACCCAUGAGCAGGAUGAAGGUUGGGUAAAACCAACUGGAGGUCCGCACCGGUAAACGUUGAAAAGUUUUCGGAUGACUUGUGGGUAGGGGUGAAAGGCUAAUCAAGCUGGGAAAUAGCUCGUACUCCCCGAAAUGCUUUUAGGAGCAGCGUUGUAAUAGUCUACUGGAGGUAGAGCUACUGAUUGGAUGCGGGGGCUUCACCGCCUACCAAAUCCUGACAAACUCCGAAUGCCAGUAGAAUGAUUUGCAGCAGUGAGCCGCUGGGUGCUAAUGUCCGGCGACUAAAGAGGAACAACUCAGAUGCGACUGCAGCGACAGCUAGGAUGUUAGCUUGGAAGCAGCUAUUCAUUUAAAGAGUGCGUAACAGCUCACUAGUCGAGCGGUUGUGCGUGGAUAAUAACCGGGCAUCAAGUGUAUUGCCGAAGCUAUGGACUUUACGGAGUGGUAGGGGAGCAUUCCAUCGACGUCGAAGCCGAUUCGUGAGGAUCGGUGGAGUUUAUGGAAAAGCAAAUGUAGGUAUAAGUAACGAUAAGGCGGGAGAGUAACCCGCCCACCGCAAGACCAAGGUUUCCUGAUCAACGUUAAUCGGAUCAGGGUCAGUCGGGGCCUAAGGGUAAGCCGCAUGGUGAUCUCGAUGGACAAUCGGUUAAUAUUCCGAUACUGAUAUGAACUGCGACGGAGGGACGGAGAAGCGUAAGCUACGCCAACAGACGGAAUUGUUGGUUAAAGGGUGUAGGUAUAUGAUUCGGUUAAUAGCUGAUUCAUGCUGAAACCUGACAGUACCGAGCGGCUACGGCCAAUCGGAUAGUUAGCCCAAGCAAGCUUCCGAGAAAAACUUCUAAGCUUCAGGUUCAUAUCACCCGUACCGUAAACCGACACAGGUGGUCGAGGAGAGUAUCCUCAGGUGCUUGAGUGAAUCACGGAUAAGGAACUAGGCAAAUUGACCCCGUAACUUCGGGAAAAGGGGUCCCUACGCAAGUAGGGCGCAGCGAAGAGGUCCAGGCAACUGUUUAACAAAAACAUAUGGCUCUGCUAAUUCGAGAGAAGAAGUAUAGGGCCUGACACCUGCCCGGUGCUGGAAGGUUAAGAGGGGAUGUCAGCGCAAGCGAAGCAUUGAAUCGAAGCCCCAGUAAACGGCGGCCGUAACUAUAACGGUCCUAAGGUAGCGAAAUUCCUUGUCGGGUAAGUUCCGACCUGCACGAAUGG
rnacentral:rRNA from 1 species